rnacentral:rRNA from 1 species
UACGAAGGGGGCUAGCGUUGCUCGGAAUCACUGGGCGUAAAGGGUGCGUAGGCGGGUCUUUAAGUCAGGGGUGAAAUCCUGGAGCUCAACUCCAGAACUGCCUUUGAUACUGAGGAUCUUGAGUCCGGGAGAGGUGAGUGGAACUGCGAGUGUAGAGGUGAAAUUCGUAGAUAUUCGCAAGAACACCAGUGGCGAAGGCGGCUCACUGGCCCGGUACUGACGCUGAGGCGCGAGAGCGUGGGUAGCAAACAGG